rnacentral:rRNA from 1 species
GGGGAUAACAUUUGGAAACAGGUGCUAAUACCGCAUAACAACGAAAACCACAUGGUUUUCGUUUCAAAGAUGGUUUCGGCUAUCACUUCAGGAUGGGCCCGCGGUGCAUUAGCUUGUUGGUAGGGUAACGGCCUACCAAGGCAAUGAUGCAUAGCCGAGUUGAGAGACUGAUCGGCCACAAUGGAACUGAGACACGGUCCAUACUCCUACGGGAGGCAGCAGUAGGGAAUCUUCCACAAUGGGCGCAAGCCUGAUGGAGCGACACCGCGUGAGUGAAGAAGGGUUUCGGCUCGUAAAGCUCUGUUGUUGAUUAUUAACGUGCGUGAGAGCAACUGUUCACGCAGUGACGGUAUUCAACCAGAAAGUCACGGCUAACUACGUGCCAGCAGCCGCGGUAAUACGUAGGUGGCAAGCGUUAUCCGGAUUUAUUGGGCGUAAAGCGAGCGCAGGCGGUUGCUUAAGUCUGAUGUGAAAGCCUUCGGCUUAACCGAAGAAGUGCAUCGGAAACUGAGCGACUUGAGUGCAGAAGAGGACAGUGGAACUCCAUGUGUAGCGGUGGAAUGCGUAGAUAUAUGGAAGAACACCAGUGGCGAAGGCGGCUGUCUGGUCUGCAACUGACGCUGAGGCUCGAAAGCAUGGGUAGCGAACAGGAUUAGAUACCCUGGUAGUCCAUGCCGUAAACAAUGAGUGCUAGGUGUUGGGAGGGUUUCCGCCCUUUAGUGCCGCAGCUAACGCAUUAAGCACUCCGCCCUGGGG